GACGAACGCUGGCGGCGUGCUUAACACAUGCAAGUCGAACGGAAAGGCCCUGCUUGCAGGGUACUCGAGUGGCGAACGGGUGAGUAACACGUGGGUGAUCUGCCCUGCACUUCGGGAUAAGCCUGGGAAACUGGGUCUAAUACCGGAUAGGAGCCAUUUUUAGUGUGAUGGUUGGAAAGUUUUUUCGGUGUAGGAUGAGCUCGCGGCCUAUCAGCUUGUUGGGGGGGUAAUGGCCUACCAAGGCGGCGACGGGUAGCCGGCCUGGGAGGGUGGACGGCCAGCGGGGGACUGCGGGAGGCCUCAGAAGGCUGAGGGGGGCAAUGGGGGGAAAUGUGGCCCAGUGGGACCAAGCUGGAUGGGACGGCCCUCGGGUGGGAAAGACCUCUUUUGGGUUAUAAACACCUUUCGGUAGGUACCCGGCUUUUUGGGCGGGUCCCAAGGUAAGAAGCCCGGGUAAACUGCGG
rnacentral:rRNA from 1 species